AUUGAACGCUGGCGGCAUGCCUUACACAUGCAAGUCGAACGGCAGCACGGGGCAACCUGGUGGCGAGUGGCGAACGGGUGAGUAAUGUAUCGGAACGUACCUUUCAGUGGGGGAUAACGUAGCGAAAGUUACGCUAAUACCGCAUAUUCUGUGAGCAGGAAAGCAGGGGAUCUUAGGACCUUGCGCUGAUUGAGCGGCCGAUAUCAGAUUAGCUAGUUGGUAAGGUAAAGGCUCACCAAGGCGACGAUCUGUAGCGGGUCUGAGAGGAUGAUCCGCCACACUGGAACUGAGACACGGUCCAGACUCCUACGGGAGGCAGCAGUGGGGAAUUUUGGACAAUGGGCGCAAGCCUGAUCCAGCCAUGCCGCGUGAGUGAAGAAGGCCUUCGGGUUGUAAAGCUCUUUCAGCCGGGAAGAAAACGCAUGGGUUAAUACCCUGUGUGGAUGACGGUACCGGAAUAAGAAGCACCGGCUAACUACGUGCCAGCCGCCGCGUAAAAC
rnacentral:rRNA from 1 species